CUACGGGGUGCUCCAGUGGGGAAUAUUGCACAAUGGGCGCAAGCCUGAUGCAGCCAUGCCGCGUGUAUGAAGAAGGCCUUCGGGUUGUAAAGUACUUUCAGUAGGGAGGAAGGUGGUUAAGUUAAUACCUUAAUCAUUUGACGUUACCUACAGAAGAAGCACCGGCUAACUCCGUGCCAGCAGCCGCGGUAAUACGGAGGGUGCAAGCGUUAAUCGGAAUUACUGGGCGUAAAGCGCAUGCAGGUGGUUUGUUAAGUCAGAUGUGAAAGCCCUGGGCUCAACCUAGGAAUCGCAUUUGAAACUGACAAGCUAGAGUACUGUAGAGGGGGGUAGAAUUUCAGGUGUAGCGGUGAAAUGCGUAGAGAUCUGAAGGAAUACCGGUGGCGAAGGCGGCCCCCUGGACAGAUACUGACACUCAGAUGCGAAAGCGUGGGGAGCAAACAGGAUUAGAUACCCGCGUAGUC
rnacentral:rRNA from 1 species